GUAAGAAUGAUAGGCUCAGAAUUUUAUGGAGGUAAAGCGCCUUUCUCAUCCUUAAUAACUUUGAAGUUCGAAGAGAUGUUGUCAUGGAAGGAAUGGUCUCCUUAUGUCGGGGGCCCAGAAGAAGAAGUCCCAUUCUCCUGUCUUCAGUAUCUUGUUGUCCGGAGCUGUCCUUCAUUGGUCGGGAUAUUGCCUUGCCAACUUGACUGUCUCAUAAAGCUUGAAAUUCAUUCAUGCCCGCAUUUGAAUGACUCAACCAGUGUAGUUCGUCUUCCAUCUCUCCGCGAGUUAUAUCUUGAGGAUUGUACCAAGGAGAUCUUAAAGAGCUUGAUCAACCUAACUUCUUUGACCGUUCUCAGAAUUAAAAAUCUUACCGAGUUUGUUUGCUUCGAUCCUGGGUUUAUGAGGUGCUUGGUCAAGCUAAAGGAGCUUCGCAUAGGAGGGUGUGGCGAGCUAACGUGCUUGUGGCAAGAUGGAAAUGAAAUGCAAAAUCUCACUUGCCUUGAAAGAGUUAUCAUCAAAAGGUGUCCUCAGUUCGCAUCAUUUGUGGUGGGAGAAGGAGAGAUAGGGCUGCCGUGCAACCUCGAAAGGAUGGAAUUGAGGGAUUGUACGAGUUUAGAAAAGCUUCCAAGCAAGGUGCACGCAAUCAGAGAUUUGCUGAUUCAGAAUUGUCCAAAAAUAGUGGGACUAACCAGUCCUCCGGAUGGGCCCAACAGUAAUAACCUGAUGCCUCAGCUUGAAUCUCUCGAGGUAAGUCAUUGUGAUUCUCUAACAUCGUUUUCCUUUGCCAAGGGUACACUCGCUGCUCUGAAGAGACUUUAUAUUAGGGAGUGCAAGAGAGUGGAGUCCUUGGAAGAGGUCACCGUAGCGGCAAAAUCGCUGGAAUCUUUGACUAUUGAAUGGUGUAAGAAUCUGGGAAGCCUACCACGGUGCCUUCACACGCUCUCCCAUCUCACCCGUUUGGCAGUGUACAACUUGGAGAUAGAGGACUUUCCUCCCCUUCCCCUCACCCUCUCGACUCUCACUCUUGAUAAUUGUACGAAGAUAAAGUCUAUUGCCAGAUGUAACAUUGCCAGCUGUAAGAAUCUUUCUCGUUUGGAAAUAGGCGGGUGUCUAGCAUUGGAGAUAGAGGAGGACUUCCCUCCCCUUCCCAUCACCCUCUCAUCUUUCUAUCUCGGUUAUUGUCCGAAGAUAAAGUGUCUACCAAAUCAGUGGCAUCAUCUUACCUCCCUCCAGAAGCUACACAUUAUCCAUUGCCCAAAUAUUGAAUGCUUUCCCAAAGGAGGUUUCCCUCCCAAUUUGAGGAGCCUUGUAAUUAGAAGGUGCGAGAAUGUGAAGCAGGGAGAGAGAGAAUGGGGCUUACCCCUUCUCACCUCCCUCGAGGGACUGGUAAUCGACUUUGGAAGGAGCAUGAGUGGAGGGGAGGGAGACAAUGUGUUCUUUCCUUCUUCGAAGGAGGAGGAGGAUGUGUGGAGUCUUCUCUUCCCUUCCUCUCUAACCCAACUUCACAUCUACAAUAUGAGGAAGGUGGAAAGACUAUCAAGUGCUCUUCGCAACCAGCUCUCCUCUCUCACACAUUUAUGGAUUGAAGAUUGCCCCAAGUUGAGGUACUUGCCAGAGGAUGGCCUCCCUCCCUCCCUCCAAUAUCUGUACAUACACAAAUGCUCGAAUCUGAAAGAAGGAUGCUCAAAACUCACUGGCCACUAUUGGCCCCUCAUCCAACACAUCCCUGAGAUAUACAUUGAUGGCGAUCGGAUCCGAUGAUAUUGAAAUCCAUCACGCCCUAUCGAUGAUAAAAGAUUAGUCUCCGUGGACUGCUGUUUUCUUCCUCGGAUACCUUUCUCAUUUGCAUUGGCACAAUCUCUCUUGCAAGGAUACCUCUAAUCUUAUUUGGUGCACUGGGACUUUUGGAGCAAAAGCUUCGAGCUCACUUUGGGUUCCUUUGGUGUGUGACGGGAAAUCUGGCGCUUCAACCAAUGUAUAUUUUGUCUGAUACAUCUCCUCCCUCUCUGCUACUGUCGGAUAUGUAAAAUUUUUUUUUGGAAGCAAUUUUCGUAUGGCAUCGCGGAGCCCUGUUAGAGGUGGUCAGAAAAGCAGAGUUGCCUUUGCCAAGAUAACUUUCAAGAAACCUCACAUAGUUUUGCUAUGUACCAUUCUAUCAUCUUGAUUUGGAUGCAGUUGAGGCACUCAUUCAAGGUCUGGUCUUUUUCCAAGGAGGAAUUCUGAUGGUUAGUCACGAUGAGCAUCUGCAGGCGUGGGCGAGCUCUAGGUGGUUUCUCAAGGCAAGGUGGCACCUUUCCAUGGGAGUUUCCAGGAUUGUGAGAAGAUACUUCAGUCCUCGUAGAGUCAGGUGAGCUUAGUUCUUGUCAUCAGCAUAGAGUGGUUCACCGGGGUUACGUUACCUUGCAAAACUGAAAAUGAGGCUUAGCUACACAGAGAAAGCCAAAAAGGACGAAGAGAGAGGAUGGCUGCUGAUACACAGAACGUACUCACAGUUACAGCAGCCCUCGUUUCCCUCCCAAUUUGCGGGUCCUUUCAAUUGAAGGUUGUGAGAAUGUGAAGCAGCCAGUGAGAGAAUAGGGUUUACCCCUCCUCACAUGCCUCCAGUGUCUACUAAUUGACGGAAGGAGCAUGGGAGGGGAGGGAGAGAAGGUGUGGUUUCCUUCAGAGGACGAUGACGAGGAUGCGUGGAGUGGUCUCUUCCCUUCCUCUCGAACCUCCCUUGAUUUGAGAAAUAUGAGGAAGGUAGAAAGACUAUCAAGCGGUCUUCCAAACCAUCUCUCCUCUCUCCAAUAUUUAUGUUUUAUAGAUUGCCCCAAUUUGAGGUACUUGCCAGAGGAUGGCCUCCCUCCCUCCCUCUACCAAUUGUGGGUACAUGACUGCGAGAUUCUGGAAGACGGAUGAUCAAAACUCACUGGAAGCUGUUGGCCCCUCAUCCAACACAUCCCGAGCAUUGUGAUUGAUUAUGUUCGCAUCCAGUAAAUUGAUUCUUCCAUGUACAGACAGUUUUCUAGGGUUCGGAUGUUUCCCAUAAAUUCCCCAAAAAAACCAGUCACUGAAGGUGAAAGAUUAGUUAUGUGGAAGUUGUGAUGUGAUUGUGAAGAAAGGGGAUGCACCCUUUUUUUGUUUAUGGUUCUCUUAAGAAUCGAGAACCUUCUUUUUGUUGAUGAUGAUCCUUCGUAGUAUUAAGCAGUCUAUCUGGCAUAAAAUUGUGGGGCAGCUCGUAGCUCCAACCUGUCAAUACAACUCCAAUUCAUGACAGCAUUGCUAUUCUAUAAAUCACCUUCUGGUUGGGUCUUGACCUCUGGUGGGUUAGGAACUAUUGCUUACAGCUUGCUAGAAAUUUUUAGCCAAUAUUCUUAUGCUUGUUUGGUUGAAAUUGUAAUGAUGUGCUACCUGCCUCUCUGUUUGCCUUGUCCGCAGUGACCUCUUGGGCACAGAUAUUCAGUUCUUUAAAGUAUCAGUUGUUCACAUUUGCUCUACCGCGGAGUAUUAUAUCCUCAUGCAUGACGUCAUUUUAUCUGGUGGUACCUUAUGUGGCAUUCUUUCUGCAGGGAGUUUCGGAACAGAAGCUUCAAGUUCACUUGUGUUCCUUUGGUCUACCUCGAAAUCUUGCGCUUCAACAAAUAUAUCCAAU